rnacentral:rRNA from 1 species
AUACGGGAGGCAGCAGUGAGGAAUAUUGGUCAAUGGGCGGAAGCCUGAACCAGCCAUCCCGCGUGCAGGAAGACGGCCCUAUGGGUUGUAAACUGCUUUUCCAGGGGGCGAAUAGCUCUAACGUGUUGGGGUAUGACUGUACCCUGGGAAUAAGCAUCGGCUAACUCCGUGCCAGCAGCCGCGGUAAUACGGAGGAUGCGAGCGUUAUCCGGAUUUAUUGGGUUUAAAGGGUGCGUAGGCGGAUUCAUAAGUCAGUGGUGAAAACCUGCAGCUUAACUGUAGAAUUGCCGUUGAUACUGUGAGUCUUGAGUGUGGUCAAGGCAGGCGGAAUGUGUAAUGUAGCGGUGAAAUGCUUAGAUAUUACACAGAACACCAAUUGCGAAGGCAGCUUGCUGGGCCGUGACUGACGCUGAGGCACGAAAGCGUGGGGAUCGAACAGGAUUAGAUACCCUAGUA